rnacentral:lncRNA from 1 species
UAACAUGAUUCUAAAAAUAGUCUGUAGACUGAAAUACUGAAAUAUGAUAACUGUAUGUUAUGGUCAAUGCAAGCCUGAACUGAAGUAUACUAAAUACUGAACUGAGACUGUGGGAGCUAUCAUCUAAUUGAUAUGCCCUAAUGAGCUAAUUGGAGUCCAACCUAUGACCCCAGUUAGAAGGGUGUCACUACCGUGCCACGGGUACUAACACAUGGAUGAGUGGAUCCACUAAAGUGUUGUCCCAAAG